rnacentral:rRNA from 1 species
UGUUGUGUUAUCCUUCACAAUAUGAUCCUCGAAGAUGAGACAGGAAUGAACUUAGAGUUCUUCUACGACAAUGUGGGUAGCCGUGUCAAACCAGCUAGAGACCCUAACCGCAUUAGAGCUUUUCUUCAGACCUACAAAGAGAUUGAAAAUGCAAACACCCACUUUCAACUUCUGGAGGAUCUCAUUGAUCACCAUUGGCAAAGGGCUGGACAGUAA